UUUGGAAUAUUCCGCAAUGGGCGAAAGCCUGACGGAGUGACGCCGCGUGAGGGAUGAAGGCCUUCGGGUUGUAAACCUCUUUUGUUCGUUAGAAAGUAUCCCGGCGCUAAUACCGCCGGGGUCUGAUAAAGGCGGAAGAAUAAGCACCGGCUAACUCUGUGCCAGCAGCCGCGGUAAUACAGAGGGUGCGAACGUUGUUCGGUGUCAUUGGGCUUAAAGGGUGCGUAGGCGGUCAUGCAAGUUGGGUGUGAAAGCCCUUGGCUUAACCAAGGAAUUGCGCCCAAUACUACAUGACUCGAGGGUCAAAGGGGAGAGCGGAACUCCAGGUGUAGCGGUAAAAUGCGUAGAUAUCAGGAGGAACACCGGUGGCGAAGGCGACUUUCUGGCCCUAUACUGACGCUGAGACGCGAAAGCGUGGGUAGCAAACA
rnacentral:rRNA from 1 species